UAGCUACAGGCUUAACACAUGCAAGUUGAGGGGAAACGAUAUUGGAAGCUUGCUUCCGAUAGGCGUCGACCGGCGCACGGGUGAGUAACGCGUAUCCAUCCUGCCCACCCACUUGGGGAUAACCUUGCGAAAGUAAGACUAAUACCCAAUGAUAUCUCUAGGAGACAUCUGAAAGAGAUUAAAGAUUUAUCGGUGAUGGAUGGGGAUGCGUCUGAUUAGUUUGUGGCGGGGUACGGGCCCCCCAAGGCACGGAUCAGUAGGGGUUUGGGAGGAAGGUCCCCCCCAUGGAAAUGAGACACGUUCAAACUCCUACGGGAGGCAGCAGUGAGGAAUAUGGUCAAUGGACGAGAGUCUGAACCAGCCAAGUAGCGUGCAGGAAGACGGCCCUAUGGGUGGUAAACUGCUUUUAUAAGGGAAUAAAGUGAGUCUCGUGAGACUUUUUGCAUGUACCUUAUGAAUAAGGACCGGCUAAUUCCGUGCCAGCAGCCGCGGUAAUACGGAAGGUCCGGGCGUUAUCCGGAUUUAUUGGGUUUAAAGGGAGCGUAGGCCGGAGAUUAAGCGUGUUGUGAAAUGUAGACGCUCAACGUCUGCACUGCAGCGCGAACUGGUUUCCUUGAGUACGCACAAAGUGGGCGGAAUUCGUGGUGUAGCGGUGAAAUGCUUAGAUAUCACGAAGAACUCCGAUUGCGAAGGCAGCUCACUGGAGCGCAACUGACGCUGAAGCUCGAAAGUGCGGGUAUCGAACAGGAUUAGAUACCCUGGUAGUCCGCACGGUAAACGAUGGAUGCCCGCUGUUGGUCUGAAUAGGUCAGCGGCCAAGCGAAAGCAUUAAGCAUCCCACCUGGGGAGUACGCCGGCAACGGUGAAACUCAAAGGAAUUGACGGGGGCCCGCACAAGCGGAGGAACAUGUGGUUUAAUUCGAUGAUACGCGAGGAACCUUACCCGGGCUUGAAUUGCAGAGGAAGGAUUUGGAGACAAUGACGCCCUUCGGGGCCUCUGUGAAGGUGCUGCAUGGUUGUCGUCAGCUCGUGCCGUGAGGUGUCGGCUUAAGUGCCAUAACGAGCGCAACCCCUCUCCUUAGUUGCCAUCAGGUCAAGCUGGGCACUCUGGGGACACUGCCACCGUAAGGUGUGAGGAAGGUGGGGAU
rnacentral:rRNA from 1 species